rfam:Otolemur garnettii contig175459, whole genome shotgun sequence.
CCUACGGCUCUUUUCAGAGCCACCUACGGUUUCAGACAAAUAGCUG